rnacentral:rRNA from 1 species
CAGCCGUAAAACUAUAGCGCGUUAGGUGUAUCGGUGACCACGAGUCACCGAGGUGCCGAAGGGAAACCGUGAAACGUGCCGCCUGAGAAGUACGGUCGCAAGGCUGAAACUUAAAGGAAUUGGCGGGGGAGCACAACAACGGGUGGAGCCUGCGGUUUAAUUGGGACUCAACGCCGGACAACUCACCGGGAACGACAGCAAUAUGUAGGCCAGGCUGAAGACCUUGCCUGAAUCGCUGAGAGGAGGUGCAUGGCGUAGACGUCU